GGGUAUUGCCAACUCUCAUGGUGUGACGGGCGGUGUGUACAAGGCCCGGGAACGUAUUCACCGCGACAUGCUGAUUCGCGAUUACUAGCAACUCCGGCUUCAUGCAGGCGAGUUUCAGCCUGCAAUCCGAACUGGGAUGAGUUUUGUGAGAUUGGCUCCACCUCGCGGUCUUGCGUCUCUUUGUUCUCACCAUUGUAGCACGUGUGUAGCCCUAGACAUAAGGGGCAUGAUGAUUUGACGUCAUCCCCACCUUCCUCCGAUUUAUCAUCGGCAGUCUCCUUAGAGUGCCCAGCUUAACCUGCUGGCAACUAAGGAUAAGGGUUGCGCUCGUUGCGGGACUUAACCCAACAUCUCACGACACGAGCUGACGACAACCAUGCACCACCUGUCACCCUUGCUCCCGAAGGAGAGGGCACAUCUCUGUGCCGGUCAAGGGGAUGUCAAGCCUUGGUAAGGUUCUUCGCGUUGCUUCGAAUUAAACCACAUGCUCCGCUGCUUGUGCGGGUCCCCGUCCAAUUCCUUUGAGUUUCAGUCUUGCGACCGUACUCCCCAGGCGGAGUGCUUAUUGUGUUUACUUCGGCACUGAAUAUCGCUACCCAACACCUAGCACUCAUCGUUUACAGCGUGGACUACCAGGGUAUCUAAUCCUGUUUGCUACCCACGCUUUCGUGACUCAGCGUCAGUUACAGUCCAGUAAGUCGCCUUCGCCACUGGUGUUCCUCCUAAUAUCUACGCAUUUCACCGCUACACUAGGAAUUCCACUUACCUCUCCUGCACUCAAGUAAUACAGUUUCAAAUG
rnacentral:rRNA from 1 species